UUUUUUUUUUUAAACAUCUAACCUUGUAUAUUUUACUGUUGGCUAUAGCAAUGCUUCUGUGCGUUCCUGGUCUUUCUGCCCUAUGUUCUCUGCUCCCAUCUGUCCCACCCUCCUCUGCUUUGUUCUCCUGUCAGAUCUCUGCACCUCCAGGCGAAGAAAGUGUUACGUGGAGCUGAGGGAGGCUGAGCAGUGCCAGCAUCCAACCCUGCGAGUCCCAGCGCCGAGGAUGGGAAAGGACCAAACCUGCUGCAGCACUCAUAGGAGGACAUUCAGCCUUUAUUGACGGUUGGGAAAGGCAGUACAGGAAAGCAGCAGUGCCAGACUGCCAGGCAAGAAUCAGACACAGCUGUGUGUCAGUGUGAUGCUGGUACUCCAGUGGGAGCUGUCUGCGGAUGGAUGGGCUGUGCUGGCUGUCAGCACACAGCGCUGAGGAGCGAAGCAGAUGGGUUCCAUCCCAAGGACAGCCUGGCUCCGCUCACCCCGCUGCGUUCCCAGGAGGGAUGGAGGAGAAAUUGACAUUGAGGUGGAAAGCAGUGCCAGGAGGUGAGCGGUCCGGCAGGGCGGGGGGGCUGCAUCCAGCCUGAGCGAAACCCCCCGCCCCAAUGAGACCCCCAGCUCUGCUGGGCACCCCCAAGUCCUGCACAGCCCCCCACUUCUUACCAACA